ensembl:lncRNA
CUUGCUUACCCGCCCCCGGGAGUUCUGCCCAAGAGCAACCGCCCAAUAAAAGGCCCUGAACAACGGUCCAUAGGGGUGGUUCCUUCUUCCUGCGGCAUUUCUUACAUCUGGCGCCCAACGUGGGGCUCGAGGUGAGGGCUUCCGGCACUCGCCGUUGAGGCCCCCUCGAGCUCCACCGCUGCGGUAGCCCCCCCGGACCCAGACGGCUGACCAACCCCCCAGACGGCAGGAUACAGGAUCUCUCAGCAGGUGGCUGCGGCCCUAGGUAUCGGCUGGCAUCUCCACAUCCCCUAUCGGCCCCAAUCAUCAGGCAAGGUAGAGUGGGUGAACGGCAUCAUCAAGACACAUCUGACCAAGACAGCCACAGUUCUGAGGCAAGCCUAUCUUGGGUCGACCUCCUUUCUCUGGCACUCACUCGCAUUCGCACCACACUACACUCCAAAACAGGUUUAACCCCUUUUGAACUGCUCUAUGGUAGGCCCUAUCACCUGACGCACCUCCCCGAGGGAGAGGCUCCCCCACUCGCGGGGUACCUCCCCCUCUUCUCCCUCCUACGAUCCUUGCUGAGGGAACACGCAGACCGGGUCCUGCCACAACCAACAGACGACGCGGGGCCCACCCGGCCUCUAGCACCAGGAGAUCAGAGGCUCGACACGGUCCAGCUGAUGGUGAUGCGACAACAGUACCAAGGGCUUCCAACGAGCACUCUGUGGCAAGAUUAACGGCAGACGCCCCCUGUCAUCCCGACCGUACCCUACCCCAUCCCGGCCGUACCCUACCCCUCGUCGCCCCCGUUCAGCAGGAAGUAGCCAGAAAGAGUCGGCGCCCCUUGUCCUAUAUCAAAAAGGCCGGGAUGUAAGGUCAGGGCGAGGUCAGGAUGAAAGGUUCAGGGCAAGGUCAGGCAUGUCAUGACAUGCCCCAGCAGAGGGCACUGCAGACACACCCCGGAGACGGGCCGGCAACCAAGCCGACCAAUCAGGAGCCGACACGAAGCCGUCACCGUCCAAUCAGGAGCUGACAUGGAGCCCUUGGACACCAAUCACCGCUGAGCCCGCGUUUUCUUCCUUAUAUGGGAGCCCCGGCCCGGGCUAUAAAACCCCUUCCCCACCCCUCACACCUCGCAGACUCCGCAGACUCCCCUGUAGACUCCCUUUACCCCGCUAACUCCCUUUGCUUCGCAGACCCCCCUUGCUCCCCUGCUUACCCGCCCCCGGGAGUUCUGCCCAAGAGCGACCGCCCAAUAAAAGGCCCUGUUCAACGGUCCAUAGGGGUGGUUCCUUCUUCCCGCGGCGUUUCUUACACUGAGAGCCUUCGUGUGUCUUCUGGAGCACACAAUACAUAACUGAAAAAUAAAUCC